UACGAAGGGUGCAAACGUUGUUCGGAAUUACUGGGCGUAAAGCGCACGUAGGCGGCUAUUCAAGUCAGAGGUGAAAGCCUGGAGCUCAACUCCAGAACUGCCUUUGAAACUAGAUGGCUAGAAUCAUGGAGAGGUCAGUGGAAUUCCGAGUGUAGAGGUGAAAUUCGUAGAUAUUCGGAGGAACACCAGUGGCGAAGGCGGCUGACUGGACAUGUAUUGACGCUGAGGUGCGAAAGCGUGGGGAGCAAACAGG
rnacentral:rRNA from 1 species